AUUGAACGCUGGCGGCAGGCCUAACACAUGCAAGUCGAGCGGAGCGGCGGACGGGUGAUUAAUGCUUAGGAAUCUGCCUGGUCGUUGGGGAUAACGUCCGUAAACGGGCGCUAAUACCGCAUCCUAUCAGAUGAGCAUAGAUCGGAUUAGCUAGUUUGUGGGGUAAAGGCCUACCAAGGCGACGGUCCGUAACUGGUCUGAGAGGAUGAUCAGUCACACUGGAACUGAGACACGGUCCAGACUCCUACGGGAGGCAGCAGUGGGGAAUAUUGGACAAUGGGCGAAAGCCUGAUCCAGCCAUGCCGCGUGUGUGAAGAAGGUCUUCGGAUUGUAAAGCACUUUAAGUUGGGAGGCGGUAACAACAGAAUAAGCACCGGCUAACUUCGUGCCAGCAGCCGCGGUAAUAC
rnacentral:rRNA from 1 species